CCUUGCUCCUGCCUCAGGAAUUUGUACCAACCUUCUGAAAUACUCUCUCCAUUGGGAUGGGUCCCUCCUCAUCUGGAGCUUAACUGCCAUUUCUUCAGAGGGGCCUUCCCUGCCUCUCUUGUUACCCCCUCACCCGAUUUUAGCCUCUUGCUUAGCCUCCAGCCCCAUCUGAUACUGCUGUUUCUGUGUUUUUCAGUUUAUCUCCUCCUGCUAAUGUGUUAUUUCCACGAGAGGAAAUCUUGCCUGAUGUUCACUUGUUUUCCCAGUGCCUAGAGGAGCAGUCGGCAUAUAGAUGCUCAGUAAAUAUGUGGUGGAUGACAGGAAGAAUAAAGGAGAACUGAUGGAUGCUGUGUGCUCCUACUCUGAGUGAUGAAGAUCCACAGGGUUCAACCCACUGGAUGCCCUCUGGGGCUCAGGAAGCAUUGCCAGGCUGCCCGUAGAUCACUGAACAAAGAAGCUGCCCCUAUCUUGAUUGUAGCUCUCUGCCAGCCUGCCCCUUGAGGUCUGUCCCAAUCUGUGGUUCUGGCCAAGGCCUCUGCUGCUCUUUCCAGCUCAAAGUGGUCCAGCUUUGGCAGGGUUCAGAAUGCUGAAUACCCCCAGCCACACAGACCUCCCAUGCAUGGGGUGGGCAGCCCCAGACCUCUUGUUUGGCUCUGUGAAAGCUCAGCAAGGCUGCAGACGCUCCUAUUACCCCUAGCAGCUGCUUCCCAGAGGAGUUCCAUAGCUCAUCUCAUGCCAGCGACCCCCCCACCCCCCUGCAAGCCUGCAGUGAUUGCUGGCCCCACAGAGUCAUUGGAGCCAUUGGCAUCACUCUCCAGGAUGCUGACAGCAAACACUGAAAGUCAAACCCUCUAGAGCCCCCUGCCUGCUCUUCCAGGGCUCUGUGAGCCUUGCCUCUUCUGGAACGAUGAUUGUGGAUUGAGGCAAUCAAGGUCAGGAAAAUGCACGCAGGCCCCAACUCAGGCCAGCAGGCAGGUCUGCAAACAUCAAAAUUACCCAGUUCAAAAUGAAGCCUGGCUGCUGAGAAAUGGUCAUCUGGGAGGCCCCUGACUGUGAUGUGCAUCCAGGUGUUCUCAGAAUAGGGGCAUGCGGCUGGCUGAAGGGAGAAGAACAGGGCUUUCCCUGGUGUGGGAGGCACAAUUCUAGAAUGGCUGUCACAAUUCCCACUCCUGGCACACAGGCUCUGUGUGGAAUCUUAUCACAUGGAGUGUGGGUGGCUUCUGUGAAUAUGACAAGAUGUCACACCAUAAGGUCAGGCCAUAAGGAAAAGGUAAAGGGAUUCUGCAUGUGUAAUUAAAGCCCUCAAUCAGCUGACUUUGAGAUCAUCGAAAGGGAGAUCAUCCAGGCCUAGGCCUGGCCUGACCAGGGGGCCAAGCAGUGAGGAACUGAGAAGGGCUCCCGCCUCACAGUCAGCCAGGAAACCCAGCCCUCAGUCCUAUCAGGCAAGGAGUUGAAUUCCACCAACAACCUGAAGGAGCUUGGAAGUAGACCUCAGGCUCCAGAUGAGAAUGCAGCUCCAGGAGGUUGUGAGACCCUAAACAGAGAGCCCGCCGCCAUGCUGUGCCCACACCCAAGACCCAUGGAGCUGUGAGAUAAUAAAUGUGUGCUGGUUUAAGCCUCUGGGCUUGCUGUAAUGUUGUUACACAGCAAUAAAUAAGAAAUGCAUCUGAGCUCCA